UGGGGAAUAUUGCACAAUGGGGGGAACCCUGAUGCAGCGACGCCGCGUGAAGGAAGAAGUAUUUCGGUAUGUAAACUUCUAUCAGCAGGGAAGAAAAUGACGGUACCUGACUAAGAAGCCCCGGCUAACUACGUGCCAGCAGCCGCGGUAAUACGUAGGGGGCAAGCGUUAUCCGGAUUUACUGGGUGUAAAGGGAGCGUAGGCGGCAGUGCAAGUCAGAAGUGAAAGCCCAAGGCUCAACCAUGGGACUGCUUUUGAAACUGUACAGCUAGAUUGCAGGAGAGGUAAGUGGAAUUCCUAGUGUAGCGGUGAAAUGCGUAGAUAUUAGGAGGAACACCAGUGGCGAAGGCGGCUUACUGGACUGUAAAUGACGCUGAGGCUCGAAAGCGUGGGGAGCAAACAGG
rnacentral:rRNA from 1 species